UUUUAAAUUAUAGCUCCUUAUACUUACCUGGCAGGGGAGAUACCAUGAUCACGAAGGUGGUUUUCCCAGGGCGAGGCUUAUCCAUUGCACUCCGGAUGUGCUGACCCCUGCGAUUUCCCCAAAUGUGGGAAACUUGACUGCAUAAUUUGUGGUAGUGGGGGACUGCGUUCGCGCUUUCCCCUGGUUUGUUUGUUGAGAAUAGAUAAAAUUUA
rnacentral:lncRNA from 1 species